GCUCCUACGGGGCGCAGCAGUGAGGAAUAUUGGUCAAUGGGCGGAAGCCUGAACCAGCCAAGUCGCGUGAGGGAAUAAGGCCCUACGGGUCGUAAACCUCUUUUGCCGGGGAGCAAGGGCCGGGACGCGUCCCGGCCCGGAGAGUACCCGGAGAAAAAGCAUCGGCUAACUCCGUGCCAGCAGCCGCGGUAAUACGAAGGAUGCGAGCGUUAUCCGGAUUUACUGGGUUUAAAGGGUGCGUAGGCGGGCUUUUAAGUCAGCGGUAAAAAUUCGGGGCUCGACC
rnacentral:rRNA from 1 species